CACGUAGGGUGCGAGCGUUUGUCCGGAAUUAUUGGGCGUAAAGAGCUCGUAGGCGGUUCGGUAAGUCGGGUGUGAAACCUCCAGGCUCAACCUGGAGACGCCACCCGAUACUGCUGUGACUAGAGUCCGGUAGGGGAGCGUGGAAUUCCUGGUGUAGCGGUGAAAUGCGCAGAUAUCAGGAGGAACACCGAUGGCGAAGGCAGGUCUCUGGGCAUUAACUGACGCUGAGGAGCGAAAAGCAUGGGGGAGCGAACAGG
rnacentral:rRNA from 1 species